GGGCCCAUAGCUCAAGUGGUUAGAGCCACCGGCUCAUAACCGGAAGGUUCCAGGUUCGAGUCCUGGUGGGCCCACCA
rnacentral:tRNA from 1 species